rnacentral:tRNA from 1 species
GCCCGGGUGGCGGAACGGCAGACGCAGAGGGCUUAAACCCCUCGGCUCCUCAGGGAGCGUGUGGGUUCGACUCCCACCCCGGGCA